UACGGAAGGUCCAGGCGUUAUCCGGAUUUAUUGGGUUUAAAGGGAGCGUAGGCCGUUUGGUAAGCGUGUUGUGAAAUGUCGGGGCUCAACCUGGGCAUUGCAGCGCGAACUGCCAGACUUGAGUGCGCAGGAAGUAGACGGAAUUCGUCGUGUAGCGGUGAAAUGCUUAGAUAUGACGAAGAACUCCGAUUGCGAAGGCAGCCUGCUGUAGCGCAACUGACGCUGAAGCUCGAAAGCGUGGGUAUCGAACAGG
rnacentral:rRNA from 1 species